CCCAUUUUCUUUAAUGUGGCAAAUAAGGCACGAGGCAUGGUUUCGUGACUCAUGUUUUUGUCGGUUCAGCAGGGAAAAUACUCUCCUGAGGGUAGGAAAGAGGCAGUCUCCCUGUUUGGACUUCCUCCUUCCUUCCUGGACGUCCUGGUCUCAACAAAGACCCCUCACCUGAGCAGGACAUUGAGAAGGAAUGUGAACACACUUGAAGAGAUAAUAUCGCUGUGAAGACCCAAACAAGACAAACACCACCGUAAAAGCAACAUAAGCAACAAUUAUGCCUUUUGGAAGGGGGUUGGGUGAUGGUGGUGGGGGGACACUUUCCCUUUUGUUUGGCAUGAACCUAGAAAACCCAUCCUCUCAGCAUCCAAGGUCUGGGCACGGACAAGCUGGAAACCCAGACACAGCGGAUGGAAUUGCCAUGGGAACGGGCCCCUUGACAACGAUUUCAUACUCAAGAGAAGAAAAGAGAGCAGUAUCUCCCCAGCAUCGCCAGCGGCCUGAAUAUUUGUGGCAGAAGCUCGUCGCUGAGACUGGAGGGAAGCAGCUAAUCUCCGCGCACAUCCGGGAAGAAUAAUCCAUUCAAAGUGGCACCUCACACAGUAGAAGAACAAAAAUUACCAUUCAUCUUCCAUAAAGGCGCACAGCUGAAGCUGCGUUUCAUCUCCUCAACUGACUCCGAGAAGAAGGUGCUGAAUGCGCGGCACAGACAGCGAAUGUGACAUCUGAUUUGUAGGCUGUCUAAUCACAGGAGAGAGUGUACAUUUUCUCUCAGAGAGAGCAAAGGAGGGCCUACCCUAAUUGAACGAGAGGUGAAACCGUUGUACAGCGAGCCACGAAUAACGCACUGUGCUUUUUGCACGUCACGUCUCGGAAGGAUGUCGUAAUUAAGUUUCGAAUGCACUAAGGCGUUCCAAUUAUCUAAAUUAGAGUUAAUUGAGCACAAGAGAUGAUUCUCUGUCCUAAUUAGAUUACCAAAAUAUUGAAGCUUCACGUGUAUGAAUCAUGUUCCUAACAAUCCCGCUCAGCUGCCAGUGAAGAUACAGGUGUAACAGCUGCAGGAGGAACAAAGAGGCAAUUAGCUGCACUUUUGCUGUGUGUGACUUAUAGGUAAAGGAACUUACAGAGCAAGCUGUUAUUCACAAGGUUUUCUACAAAAAAUAAAUAAAAAAAGGCAGAUCUCAACAAUCUCUAAAACAUUUGCACAGUCUACUUUCAAAAGUCCCAAACUUACGCAUUUUUCAUCAAAGACCAAAUUAUGUGAAUUAUGUUUUCCACAUUAAUAUUAAGAUUGUUUAGAAUGACCAUGCAUCCUCUUUGUGCUCACUGGUAUUUGUCUUUGUUUUUUCUUUUUUUUUGCUGAACUUAAUGAGUGAAAAGUUAAGAAAACCUUUGCCAGGAAAUGUGUGGAAAAAGGCUGAUGAAUGGUAAUUUUUGCAUAUAUUGAAUAACCGUUGUUAUUAAUAGAGUUGUUCUUACUGUAGGCCUAUAGUCAGCAUUUGUCUCAUUAGUGUUUGUUAAGUCGAGCACCGCUAUUACUACUGCUAAUACUAGUUAGUGAUUUGAAUAAAACCCUAACUAAAAUAUUAAAUUUAAGUAUGUAACUUGUCCUGUAAUGUUUGUUGCUACUGUUUUUAAUCAAGUCAAGUCUGCUUUAUUGUCAAUUCUUCCACAUGUACAGUACAUACAUAAAGAGAACUGAA